rnacentral:rRNA from 1 species
GUGCCAGCAGCCGCGGUAAUACGUAGGGUGCAAGCGUUAAUCGGAAUUACUGGGCGUAAAGCGUGCGCAGGCGGUUUUGUAAGUCUGUCGUGAAAGCCCCGGGCUCAACCUGGGAAUUGCGAUGGAGACUGCAAGGCUUGAAUCUGGCAGAGGGGGGUAGAAUUCCACGUGUAGCAGUGAAAUGCGUAGAGAUGUGGAGGAACACCGAUGGCGAAGGCAGCCCCCUGGGUCAAGAUUGACGCUCAUGCACGAAAGCGUGGGGAGCAAACAGGAU